GUCCUUUCGAGGACAUUCCAUAAAAUUAGAACGAUACGGAGAAGAUUAAUAUGACCAUGCACAAAGAUGACAUCCACAAAUCAAGAAAUGGUUAAUAUAUUC
rfam:Morus notabilis contig1951, whole genome shotgun sequence.